AUUGAACGCUGGCGGCAGGCUUAACACAUGCAAGUCGGACGAGUGGCGAACGGGUGAGUAAUGUAUCGGAAAGUGCCGAAUGGUGGGGGAUAACUACUCGAAACGAUAGCUAAUACCGCAUAUCCUCAGAUCGGCCGAGAUGGGAUUAGCUGGUUGGUGGGGUAACGGCUCACCAAGGCGAAGAUCCCUAGCUGGUUUGAGAGGAUGAUCAGCCACACUGGAACUGAGACACGGUCCAGACUCCUACGUGAGGCAGCAGUGGGGAAUAUUGCACAAUGGGCGCAAGCCUGAUCCAGCCAUGCCGCGUGUAUGAAGAAGGCCUUCGGGUUGUAAAGUACUUUCGUCUGGGAGGCGUUACCUGCAGAAGAAGCACCGGCUAACUACGUGCCAGCAGCCGCGGUAAUUC
rnacentral:rRNA from 1 species